rnacentral:misc_RNA from 1 species
UGCAAGGGGUAUGUGAUUGCAGAAUUCCGUGAAUCAUCAGAAUCUUUAGAACGCACCUUGCGCUCUAUGGUAUUCCGUAGAGCAUGCCUGUUUGAGUGCCGUGAAUUCUCCCAUCCCAAGCGGUUUUUAUCAAAGAAUUGCUAGGCGAAGGGGUUGAGAUGGGCGUUGUUAUAACUGCUUUUCUUCUCUAGAACAAAA